AAAAGUAGCCGGACGCAGAGGAAGGCAGAAUAUCCCUUUUGCACGAGCGAAGAAAAGCAGCCGGACGCAGAGGAAGGCAGGAAAAAGCUUCACUCUGCAGAAGACUCGCACGAAUGAGAGAGAAGAGGCGCAGGUGUGGCUCCAUCCAAGGUCAUGAUCAAAUUUUAGAACACAGCAAUCAGAGAGCAGUGAAGCACGCAAACAGUUUUCUAGCCUCUCACGCAAGCUCCAGACAAAGGAUAUCUUGUAUCCGUUUCUAUGGAUGUCGGUGAUGAAGAAGGGGGGCUCGGCAGAUGAAAUCUGGCGCCGUGUGACGAAGGAGAAGCUGAAUCAAGUCAGAGUUUGCAGAUUCAAUCUACCCAGGUAUUUUUUUGGGUCUUCAAUAUAAAGGAGAGAACGGAAGAGACCGAGAGGGCUGGAAGGAGAGAUUCAGGGAGAUUUCUGGAGAUCUGGGUUUUGAGAGAAGGAGCUGGUAGAGUUGAAGAGGUAGAAGAGAGUGAUCUGGGCAGAAACAGAGGACGCGGUCGAAGAGUACUGAAUAUUCAAAGGAAAGGGAGAAGAGCCGAUUGAAGAUACCCAUAUCUCCUUACUGUAAUAGAAGUGAAGAAAAGCAGUCGAUUGUAGAGGAAGGCAGUAUAUCCCUUUUGCACGAGCGAAGAAAAGCAGCUGGACGCAGGGGAAGGCAGGAAAAAGCUUCACUCUAUAGAAGACUCGCAUGAACGAGAGAGAAGAGAUGCAGGUGUGGCUCUAUCCAAGGUCACAAUCAAAUUUCAAAACGCAGCAAUCAGAGAGCAGUGAAGCACGCAAACAGUUUUCUAGCCUCUCAUGCAAGCUCCAGACAAAGGAUAUGUUUUAUCCGUUUCUAUGGAUGUCAGCAAUGAAGAAGGGCAGCUCGACAGAUGAAAUCCAAUGCCGUAUGAGGAAGGAGAAGUGGAAUUGAGUCAGAGUUUGCAGAUUCACGCUACCAGGUAUUUUUUUCAUCUUCAAUAUAAAGGAGAGAACAAAAGAGACCGAGAGGGGUGGAAGGAGAGAUUCAGGGAGAUUUUUAGAGUUAUGGGUUUUGAGAGAAGAAGCAGGUAGAGUUCAAGGGCUAGAAGAGAGUGAUCCAGGCAAAAAUAGAGGAUGCAAUCGAAGAGUACUGAAUAUUCAAAGGAAAGGGAGAAGAGCCAAUUGAAGAUACCCAUAUCUCUUUACUGUAAUAGGUUUGGAAUUAAAUUUUUCGUGCUUUACAUUCUUACUCUACCUUUUGAUCCUAUGAUCUAUUUCAUGUUCUACUCUAUAAAAGUUUGAUUAGCUUUACGAGUGCAGUAAUUUUGACUGUGUGCAUACUUUCGAAUUCCGUAUCA